UACGAGGAGCAGUGAGAAGAGCAUAUUUUAAAGUUGCACUUUUCACUAUUACUUGUAUG
rnacentral:precursor_RNA from 1 species